GGUGGCCUAGUGGUUAGAACGUCCGCCUCGGAGGCGGGAGGUCGCUGGUUCGAACCUCGGCGAAAACUU